UCUAUGCUUUGUCCCCAUGUCCCUUCCCAGGCUUCUUGCUCUCUGUAUGUUCUUAGCUGAAAUCCUUCCUUACAGGAAACCUGCUCUGUGCCUUCCACUUCGGAGGCACACACAUCCCUGGACAAGUCACCUGACCUCAGCAAGUGUCAGUUUUGCCAACUGCAAAGGGAGCGUAAAAAUAUGCACCUCAAACUGUUGUGGUGUGGCAACACAGGUCCCUCGUCCUGGCUGAUUCAGAAGAUAGAGCACUCGGCCUUAUCCUGAGAGAACCUAGAGUUCCAAAGGAUCCAACUCCCUGUUUGUGGGGAACAUCAGAGGGCUUCAUCACUUCAAUUGCCUGCCCAGGAACCUUUCUUCUAGCCUGGACCCUCACUUCUGGGAAGGGCAGCCACUCUGGGGCAGUGGGCGUCCUCAUGUCGGCUCGGCUAGGCUGGGCCCCUCUUCAGAGAAGGGGUGGAGGGGUGUGAAGGACUGGUGUGUGUGACUUUGUUUAUUUUCUCUGAAGGAUCCUGCUAUAAAAAUAACCUGCCUGGAAACCUCAUCUCUGAGGGGGAGAAAGAAGCUUUUGUAUCUGAGGAAGUGGCUCUAACUGCAGCCCUGUGCCUGCCCCUGCCCCCACCAUCGAGGAGGGGCGGCUAAGGCAGGCCUCCAGGCCCCAGGGCUGGCCGGGAGAACAGAGCCGUGGCUGUUUGUCACUGUGGCAGAACAGUGGGACCCAUUGAACCUGCGGUCUCCUGCAGUAGAAACGGCCAAAUGGCACAUGUAGAAAAGGUAAAUUCAUCUGUGGCGCUGGUGAGAGGUGCACUUGGGGACUGUCCAGGGAGAGUCAUCCUUCAGUUCACAGGCUGAGACAACCAUGUGUUCCACGGGCUACACUGAGCUUCAUUUGCCACAGCUGGAGGGAAGAUGGAGGGCAGUCCUCAUGGACGCCAUGGGACCGAGCAGCCCUCCAUGGUGGGGGUCCUCUGAACAGUCAUACCUCUCGUGGUCCUGGUUUUGUGGUUGAUAGAGCGAUAACACUUUAAGAAAUAUGCCCUGAAUGAAUCUAAAGUGUUUUUCCUAUGAGAAAAGUGUUUAUUUCAGCAACUUUGACUGCCUUCAGUUGUGAACCCAAAACUGGAGGGUCUGAAGUCUCCUUUCCCAUGGACCUUUGAGUUGGACUUGAGGCCAUGAUGUAGAGAGGACAUUAUGAGUCUUCGGGUGGCCUCUCUUUGAUUUUCCUUCCACCCUUUUCUCUGUCAGUGUACUCUCAUAUCUGAAACUGAUGCUAUGCAUAUGGGUGAGAGUUGGAAAUACUAUGGCUGAGGUGAGCAAGUGGGGUACGGGGGAAGACAAACUAGGAGCCCCUUAACAACUGAUCCCUCUGGGGCUCAAAUAAAGCUUCUUCGUCCCAAGUUCUCAGGUCUUCUACCACAUAGGGAUUUGAGGCAGAACCCUUAGUGCUGGAUUAAAACAUUUACAAGUGCUAAUCAUUGAAAGAUUGGUAUUUAAAAAAAAAUAAAGGGAGUUGUAAUGGUGAAGAAUUCAAAAGUUCCGACUUUUCCAUAAUGAUCAGUUAUUUUGACACUUAAAGAAUAUCAAAGGCUGGAGAGAUGGCUCGGUGGUUAAGAGCACUGACUGCUCUUCCAGAAGUCCUGAGU
rnacentral:sRNA from 1 species